CAGAUGUGGAGGAAAUCUCCCGGGAACACUUCUCCGGGAAGGAAGUGCCCAUUUAAAGAAAUUACAUAGAAGUGAUGUACUCCCUCCCUCCUCAGCCCAUGGCGGGCAGGGUGGCAGCUGCAAGAUACCUGAGAGAAACAACGUCAGCAGGAAGAGCUGUAAGUUCAGCUUGCCAUCCAUGAGCAGAGAAGGUGGGGCCGGUGCAGCUCCUGCGAUGGUGGAUGGGAGGCAGAGCCAAGCAGGACAGACCCUCUGACUCAGGAAACCUGAAUUCGCAUCUCUCUUCCUGCUAUCAUUGUUUCUCCCAGGUGUCUGGUAAGAGCAAGGAAUCCAGUGGUCUGUGGAAAUGCCAUGAUGGACACGGCCAGAGACAUGUUUUCCUGAUCUCUUAGGCAUUGCUCAGUUGACCCCGCAAACUGGGCAUCACAGCUCACAUCCUUUGAUAUGGUUUGGGAAAGGGUCUAUCUCCGGUACCAUUGCUCGAGUGAUUCUCUCCUGAUCCCUCUGUGAGUAAGGGGGAGGGUGACUCGGUUAAUUUUGUGCUUAUGAUUCUUUUAUAAGAUUGUCCCAUUUUUAUCUCCAAAUGGUGCAUUUUUCAGUUGAUGCAUUUUUAAAUAAUUUAUUAUGGAAUCAAGUGUGUUUUCUUUUAUGACUAACAUCUUUCAUCU
rnacentral:lncRNA from 1 species